CCUACGGGAGGCAGCAGUGGGGAAUAUUGCGCAAUGGGGGGAACACUGACGCAGCGACGCCGCGUGAAGGAAGAAGGCCUUCGGGUUGUAAACUUCUUUGAUUGGGGAAGAAAAAUGACGGUACCCAAAG
rnacentral:rRNA from 1 species